rnacentral:tRNA from 1 species
GCCCCAUUAGCUCAGCUGGUAGAGCAGGUCCUUCGUAAGGACAAGGUCGGCGGUUCAAGUCCGUCAUGGGGCACCA